CAAUGAGAGGGUGAUCUGGCUUGUAACAUCUGUCACCCCAUUGAUCACCAGGGUUGAUUCGGCUGAUCUGGCUGGCUACGUGGGUUUCCCCUUCCUACCUCACCAAUCCAUCUGCAUCCCUCUCAAAGCUGUGCACUUGGUUGAAGAGGACCACAUUCCCCGAACAGAGGAGGACUGGUCUUCGGUCAAGGAUAUAUGAGUAGCUGUGAUCCCCUGCUAGAACCUCCAAACAAACUCUCAAAAAUAAUAACUUUCUUAUGCAUAUGAAAACUCACAUGAUUGGAAUCAAUACAAUUUUUAAUAAGAAUUUUAUUAGAGGAGU
ensembl:misc_RNA 7SK 7SK RNA